rnacentral:lncRNA from 1 species
UUCAAGAGAAGGCAGAGACACCAACAAAAAGCUUUGAAGUUAAUGAAGGUGAAGAGGAGGCAGAUAACUAUAAAAAUCUUUGCAGCUAAAGACAGUGAAGAGAAGGCAGAGAAGCCAAUAAAAACCAUUGUAGAUUAAGAUAGUGAAGAGAUAGUAAAUACAAAAAAAAGCUACAUAGUUGAUGAUACAGAAGAAUCGAAUCGAAGUACUGUAGCCAGCUGGGC